ACAUGUGGGUAUCUGCCCUUUGGCCUGGAAUAACACGAGGAAACUUGUGCUAAUACCGGAUAAGUCUUUACGGAGAAAGCUUUAUGCACCAUUGGAUGAGCCCGCACUUGAUUAGUUUGUUGGUGGGGUAAUGGCCUACCAAGACUGUGAUCAAUAGCUGAUUUGAGAGGAUGAUCAGCCACAUUGGGACUGAGACACGGCCCAAACUCCUACGGGAGGCAGCAGUGGGGAAUCUUGCACAAUGGAGGAAACUCUGAUGCAGCGAUGCCGCGUGAGUGAAGAAGGCCCUUGGGUUGUAAAGCUCUUUCGUCGGGGAAGAAAAUGACUGUACCCG
rnacentral:rRNA from 1 species